UGGAGGGCAAGUCUGGUGCCAGCAGCCGCGGUAAUUCCAGCUCCAAUAGCGUAUAUUAAAGUUGUUGCAGUUAAAAAGCUCGUAGUUGAAUUUCGGGAUCAAUAUGUCGGUCGUGCCUUCGGUACGUACUGGUAUCAUUGGUCUCUCCUUUCUGACGAACCAUGAUGUCAUUAAUUUGGUGUUAUGGGGAGUUAGGACUGUUACUUUGAAAAAAUUAGAGUGUUUAAAGCAGGCUUUAGCUUGAAUACAUUAGCAUGGAAUAAUGGAAUAGGACGUUCGAACCUAUUUUGUUGGUUUCUAGGAUCAACGUAAUGAUUAAUAGGGAUAGUUGGGGGCAUUAGUAUUCAAUUGUCAGAGGUGAAAUUCUUGGAUUUAUUGAAGACUAACUACUGCGAAAGCAUUUGCCAAGGAUGUUUUCAUUAAUCAAGAACGAAAGUUAGGGGAUCGAAGACGAUCAGAUACCGUCGUAGUCUUAACCAUAAACUAUGCCGACUAGGGAUCGGAUGAUGUUAAUUUUUUAAUGACUCAUUCGGCGCCUUACGGGAAAC
rnacentral:rRNA from 1 species